rnacentral:rRNA from 1 species
AUUGAACGCUGGCGGCAGGCCUAACACAUGCAAGUCGAGCGGAUCCUUCGGGAUUAGCGGCGGACGGGUGAGUAACGCGUGGGAAUAUGCCCUUCUCUACGGAAUAGCCUCGGGAAACUGGGAGUAAUACCGUAUACGCCCUACGGGGGAAAGAUUUAUCGGAGAAGGAUUAGCCCGCGUUGGAUUAGGUAGUUGGUGGGGUAAUGGCCUACCAAGCCUACGAUCCAUAGCUGGUUUGAGAGGAUGAUCAGCCACACUGGGACUGAGACACGGCCCAGACUCCUACGGGAGGCAGCAGUGGGGAAUCUUAGACAAUGGGGGAAACCCUGAUCUAGCCAUGCCGCGUGAGUGGUGAAGGACUUAGGGUUGUAAAGCUCUUUCAGCUGGGAAGAUAAUGACGGUACCAGCAGAAGAAGCCCCGGCUAACUCCGUGCCAGCCGCCGCGGUAAGAC